GACGAACGCUGGCGGCGUGCCUAACACAUGCAAGUCGAACGGUAAGGUCCUGCCUUUGUCUUGUGCGCGGCUGGCGAACGGGGGAGUAACACGUGACUAACCUGCCUCUGGCUUUGGGAUAAUUUCAAGAAACAUGGGUAAAUACUAGUUCAGAGCUUCUCCUGCACGGGGGGGGUUAGCACGGUUCGGCGGUUGGGGGUGGGCGCGCGGCUUAUCAGCUUGUUGGUGGAGUAGUGGCUUACCAAGGCUUUGACGGGUAGCCGGCCUGAGAGGGUGACCGGCCACAUUGGGACUGAGAUACGGCCCAGAGUCGUACGGGAGGCAGCAGUGGGGAGUAUUGCGCAAUGGGGCGAAGCCUGAUGCAGCAACGCCGCGUGCGGGAUGGCGGCCUUCGGGUGGUAAACCGCUUUCGCCUGUGACGAUGCGUGAGUGACGGUAAUGGGUGAAGAAGCACCGGCUAACUACGUG
rnacentral:rRNA from 1 species